rnacentral:rRNA from 1 species
GGAAUAUUGGGCAAUGGAGGAAACUCUGACCCAGCGACGCCGCGUGCGGGAUGAAGGCCUUCGGGUUGUAAACCGCUUUCAGUAGGGAAGAAGCGGAAGUGACGGUACCUACAAAAGAAGCACCGGCUAACUAUGUGCCAGCAGCCGCGGUAAUACAUAGGGUGCAAGCGUUGUCCGGAAUUAUUGGGCGUAAAGAGCUCGUAGGUCGUUUGUUACGUCGGAUGUGAAAACCUGAGGCUCAACCUCAGGCCUGCAUUCGAUACGGGCAAACUAGAGUUUGGUAGGGGAGACUGGAAUUCCUGGUGUAGCGGUGGAAUGCGCAGAUAUCAGGAGGAACACCAAUGGCGAAGGCAGGUCUCUGGGCCAAUACUGACACUGAGGAGCGAAAGUCUGGGGAGCGAACAGGAUUAGAUACCCUGGUAGUCCAGACCGUAAACGGUGGGCACUAGUUGUGGGAACCUUCCACGGUUUCUGCGACGCAGCUAACGCAUUAAGUGCCCCGCCUGGGGAGUACGAUCGCAAGAUUAAAACUCAAAGGAAUUGACGG